rnacentral:rRNA from 1 species
UGAGCUUGAUCAUGGCUCAGAUUGAACGCUGGCGGCAGGCCUAACACAUGCAAGUCGAGCGGUAGAGAGAAGCUUGCUCCUCUUGAGAGCGGCGGACGGGUGAGUAAUGCCUAGGAAUCUGCCUGGUAGUGGGGGAUAACGUUCGGAAACGGACGCUAAUACCGCAUACGUCCUACGGGAGAAAGCAGGGGACCUUCGGGCCUUGCGCUAUCAGAUGAGCCUAGGUCGGAUUAGCUAGUUGGUGAGGUAAUGGCUCACCAAGGCGACGAUCCGUAACUGGUCUGAGAGGAUGAUCAGUCACACUGGAACUGAGACACGGUCCAGACUCCUACGGGAGGCAGCAGUGGGGAAUAUUGGACAAUGGGCGAAAGCCUGAUCCAGCCAUGCCGCGUGUGUGAAGAAGGUCUUCGGAUUGUAAAGCACUUUAAGUUGGGAGGAAGGGCAGUUACCUAAUACGUAAUUGUUUGACCGUACCGACAG